GCGAAGCACUUCUUUUUACACUAUUUUGAAUUGCAAAUAUUUAUAGUACAUAUAGUUAUUUUCUUACAUAUUUGUUAUUCUUUUCUUAUUGUAGGAGAGAUUUGGCUCCACAUCUAAAGCCUUUGAUAGGACCAUGGUGGUUUUCUCAGUUCGAUUCAGUUUAUGAAGUUUCUCAAACUGCAAAGAGAUCAUUUCAGGUUUGCUUUUAUUUCUUUGGAUACUGAUAGCAUUUGCACUAUGGUUUCUGUAUUCUUUGUUAUUUCCUUUGCGAUACAUUAAUAAGAUCUUUCUCAUAAGAAAAGGAAUAGCUUUUGAUUUGUGCUGCACCUUGUUAUAAGUACUUGGAUGGUGAACUUCCAUACAGAUAACAUUCCAUAAAGAAAUGAAAAUGAUGGUCCAGUCAUAUUUCUAUCUUCUUUGUUCUAUGUAAACCCUACAGCUCAUUAUUGAAAAACAUGAUAGCCUUGCCAACAGAAUGAAACUGAGAACUCAAAUUUUCCCUUGAAAUAACUGGGGAAGAUGCAGCGAAAGAUCGAAUAAUCUCAUGUAAUAGGAUGAAAUAACUACUUGAGUAGGAGAUGAGUAUACCAUCACUUAAAAUCUUUGAAUCUGACAUAUUAAAAUUAAAUAAAAUCUAAUAGCUUCUUUACCUCUUCUUGAAUUUCCUAGUGUCAUUAAAUAGAGAAUUAUAAAAAACUUGUAUGUAACUAUUGCAAGCACAUGUGCCUGGAAUAUACCACCCUCCAAAGAUGUUUAGAAUCAGAUUUAGUUCCCUAGUGAAAUGAAUGAAUGAUGGAGAUCAUCCAUUGAGGUGAUUUAUGGUGACUGGGUUUGCAGGGAAUACCUUUCUGGCAAUGAUCUAUUAAUAGUGUUGGGAGGACUGAGUCACUGAGGAGAGAUUUGUUCUAUCAUCUUCACUUUUGAGUUGGAAGCUGAUAACUUGUUAUUCUUUUACCUUUAUUUCGGCUUAGACAGCAGUAUUGCAUGGUGUCUCAAUAUCACGGUUUAUUGCAUGUGUUAUAUGUUAUGACCUUUGUUUUUCCUUUCAAUUAAUGUUAUUGAUAUUAAUUGUAUCAUUUUUCAUUUUUCAGUAUGUUAUCAAAAACUUUAUACAUUUCAUUUGUACCAUAAAUAGGCAUUUAAAAUUAUGAAGUUUUAAUCUAACUUUAUAUCUUAAUGCUAUGGUACAGACGGCGUUUCCAGCUCAGGAGAAAAGGCUAGAUGCCUUAAUGUUAUACGCAGCUGAGAUAUUUUUGUAUAUAGAAGAAAAUUUAAAGCUUACCCCGCAAAGUUUGUCAGAUAAAACAAUAGCAUCUGAUGAAUUGGAAGAGAUGCAUCAACAGGUGAUUGUUGAGGGUGUAAUUAUCCAAUUAUUAUAUUGUUUGAAUUAUUCUUUUGUUGUGUAUUAUAUGCCAGACUUUUAUACAAGAUGGAUAAACAGGAACAAGUGACCAGGAUUUUUGCAUGAUCAUUGAAUUUCUCUAAUGGAUAUGGCUGUGAAAAUUUAGUGAAGCAAUCAAUAUUAUGGUUUCAUACAUGCCCUUUCUUUUCACUCUUUGAAAUGUUUUAUGCUUGAUAAUGUAUUAAUUUUCUUGUUUUAUGAUUCCAAAAAUCCCUACCCUCAAAUUAAAAUCCGUAUGUUUAAACACUUUUUCUUCAGAUCUGUUGUCUUAUAAUUUCCUUAAUUCCCUAUGAGGUUAUCUUAUCCUCUUCCUGUGUUAUAGUGCUUUUAUAUAAUUUCUAAUUGGUUUCAGGUAGUUUCCUCAUCAUUACUGGCAUUGGCAACACUGCUUGAUGUUUUUGUAUCUGGGCAAUUUGAAAGGUCUGAUUUGGACAACAUGAUAGGUGAAUCAAAGCAUGCUGUGAAAGCCAGGGCUAUGAAUGUGGCUGUUUCUAGUGCAGAGAAGUUGUUCUCCGCUCAUAAAUAUUUUCUAGACUUUCUAAAGUCUCAAAGCCCAGCAAUCCGUUCAGCUACAUAUUCAGUGCUGAGGAGUUAUAUAAAAAACAUACCUGAUGUUGUAAAUAAAGGUGAUAUGAAAAGUCUAGCUGUGACUAUACUUGGUGCUUUCCAGGAAAGGAAUCCAGCAUGCCAUUCAUCAAUGUGGCAAACAGUGCUUAUCUUUAGUAGAACAUAUCCAGACAGUUGGACUACCUUGAAUGUUCAAAAAAUUAUUCUAAGUCGGUUAUGGGAUUUUCUGAAGAAUGGAUGUUUUGGAUCUCAGCAAGUGUCUUACCCAGCUCUAGUUUUAUUUUUAGACACAAUUCCUCCAAAAGCAGUUGUAGGAGAGAAAUUUAUCCUGCAAUUUUUCCAGAAUUUGUGGGCAGGGAGAAAGUUGUCUUACUUUUCUAACGGGGAUCAACUGGCAUUUUUCGUGGGCUUGGAAGAAUGUUUCCUUUGGACUUUAAGAAAUGCUUCUAGGUAUGAGUUCCUUGAGUUAGAUGGCAAUUUGAGUACUUUACACAGACUGACACACACACACACACACAAAAGCAUACAUACAUUUAUUGUGGUUACUGUUUUUGCUUAAAUCUUAUUUUAGUUUUGGUUAUUAUAAUGGCUACUUUUGCUCCUCUUUGGUAUCAGAUAUUGUGAUGGAGUAGAAGCCAUUUACAGCUUCCAGCGUACUCUUGUUGAUACGGUAGUAAUAGGUCUUCUGUGGCAUGAGUACCUUCUGGCAGCCAGCUCUAAAUAUCAGGACACAUCCUUCUCUGAAACUACUAUCUCUUCAUCCAAGUGUAGUACUGAACCUGUUGAUAAGGAGUCAAGGGAAACAUUUAAUGUCAAAUAUCCAGCAGAUUAUGAGGAAAAUCUUGGGAAAUGCAUCAUCAGAAUCCUUUCAGGGAUCCAUUGCCUGAAACAUGAUCUGCUUUUGGUUUUCUGUUCAACAUUUCAAGGGAAUUGUCUGGAUCUAUUUCGGCAAACAGAGCGCUCUUCUCAAAAUGUAGAAUGGGCUGUCAAAUUUUUAAUUUUACUGGACGAACAUGCUGUACAGAAGGGUGAAUCAUGGCCCUUGGUUAAUUUAUUGGGGCCCACGUUGAAAGAGUCUUUCCCAGUCAUUGAAACAUCUGUAAGUUAAGAAUGCAACUUUGAAGCUCUUACGAUGGUUAGUAAAAAUGAUUUAGGCGUUAACAUUUGGCUUACUUUAACAUAUACUUUGCACAAUAGCUAGGAGUUUCAACGUGAGGUUAUUUGGUUAUGUUAAUAAUGUUAAGAGUUCUAGUUUUCCUGUUCAAGUAUUGGGAUCCUUCAUUAAAUGGAUCCCUAGGAUUGCUUGAGAACAUCUGAGUCUAACAUUUGUUCAAAAACUGAAUUAUCAUCAUGAUCCACAUCUACAAUAAAAUGCUAUUGGGGUUAUAACUAUUUAUCGGGUGUUUAUUCUGUUUUUAUUUAUGGAAUGAUGUAAAGAGUGCAGAUGAGCUACAGAAAUUUUUCUUGGUUGUCGAGGUUUAUGAUUGUAAGUAAAUAUCUUUUAUGUGCGUUGGCUCAAACUUUUUAAUGAUUUUUUUACUAAUCAAUUCCAUUGUUACUUGUCUACUCACAAUAUGAGAUUGUGCAGGUACAGGGAUUUCCAUGAGUUGAUAUUGCCUACUUAAUUUAAAGGACCAUGUGAAUGUGAAAAGAUCUUCUAUAGUAUAUGACUUUUGGUUGACACUUUAGUUUUUUUUUACGAUUAUCUAGUUUGUGUUCAUCUGGUUCAUGGACUUUUUAUGCGUUAAGAAUCCAUUUGGAUUGUUACAUGUCCUGUGUCGUAGUUUACUAUCAAAUUCAAGAUUUUUUUUAGUUAAACUAUAGCACAGGGCAAAAGAACAUUCAUGAUAAACCAUGCAAUUCAUAUCAGUUUGCUUUCUGUUUUUAAAUUUGCUACGACAUAGAAUUAGUUUAUGUAGAAACAUGGCUUUCUUGAAGAAAGAAUUCAUACUUAAAAGAGUAAACUGAAGACUUGUGGCUUUCAUAUGCAUGAGAAUGAUCUAACUGGAUGCUUAAUUCUUAAUUCCAAGUCUGCACUUGAUGUGGUCUGUCCAUUUGAAGUGCCAUCGACCCUUGAGCGUGGUAUUUUUUUCCUUUCAGAAAAUGACUUAUUCUGCUAUCAUUGUUGCUCGAAUGCAUAAUUUCUUUUAAAUUUGAAAUGACCCUCUUGGCGGGCAUAGCAAAUCUCUCUGUGAAUAAAAUGAGUAGAUUUACCAGUAAAUGUCAUCAAUAGUGGUCCAUUUCAGUGUGGAAUUAAACUAGAUCUUCCUUUCCUACGAAUCAAAGAAGUAAAAUAGUAUGAAUUCCUUAGUGCUAUGUUAAUUUUGUUCUACUAAUCUUAAUUUGCUGUCUGAUAUUGCUUUUGUGUCAUCUCAUGUUAGUUUUGCUACUGGAAUUAAUUCAUACAUAAAUUAAAAAAAAUAUUAGACUGAUUAAAAUUUUCUGUAGUUUUUUCGUCCAAAAUUUAUAUUGUUUUGUCAUGAUUAGCUGUACCAUAUAUCUGAAACAAGGAGCCCUUCUUAUUAUUGCCUGUAUCUUGAGCAGUUUUCAAUGAUAUCCACAAUGGUUUACUAUUCUUUUGCUGUUAUCCACAAUGUUUUGCUAGCCUUUUGCUGUUUCAUUUAAAUAAUGUGAUAGAGCUGUGCAGUUGUGAAACUAUUUGUUGCUUUCAUCUCAAAAAAGAAAAAAAUAAAGAGGGAUCUCUUUUUCUCCUCCACUUAGUGUAUCAUUAAGUCAUUUUCUUCGGUCUUAUGUCACGGAUGUUAUAGUUUGCUAUCAUUACAUCCUUUCAUAAUUAUUUUUGUUCCGUUUACACCAGGACUCACCAGAUUCAGUGAGACUUAUCGUGGUUGCUGUUUCGGUAUUUGGGCCUCAGAAGAUUAUUCAAGGUCUUAUAUCUGCUGAUUUGGGGACUCGAGAAUUUUUUCAAUAUUUCAACGAGAGGAUUAUUCCCUCGUGCUUGAGAGAAGUUGGUCCUAAUGCAUCUCGGUUAGACCUCUUGCUGGCAUUACUUGAUGAAGAGUGCUUCUCAGAGCAGUGGAAUGCCAUCAUUAUGUAUUUAAUAAAUUCAGAACAAGUGGGUGUUACUCCUGGAACUGUGGACAACAACAAAAUAUCUAUCUUGGCUAUGUUGAUAGAGAAGGUUAGGGAGAGAACUAGAAAGCAUGCUCAUCUGGAAGGAUCCUGCUCAUACGAAUGGCAUCAUGAGCUUCUAGAUUCAGCUGCUCUCUCUAUCAUCCAUUCUUUUCCUCCAUUUAGGAAGUCUGAUGCUCACUUUUUAUGGUACGUAAAUAGUGAUAUCUUGAAAUAUUUGCAGGUCAUUUAUAACUAUUCAAUGCAUACUGCAUCUCAUUUCUCUAAAAUGGGAUUUGCUCUAUUUAAUCCCUUUGUAUGUUCUAUUGCUUUAUAUCUGUUGGCGUUUUAGUAAGUCAAUCUUUCUGAUUAUCAUGCAUGGUUUGGAGAAUUGUCCCUGCGACCUUCACUUCUUGGCAUGGUCUCUGACCUGUCAAUAUCUGUAGAAUUAUCAUGCCAUUUUGGAAUCGCACAGUAAUUUAAAAAGGUUUCCCUUUAGAUUGGAACACGAUAAGGUCCAUCUUGAAGUCUCUAAUCAUUAGUCAAUUUUAAAACUUGAACAUAUGAAGACUUUGGAGAAGGUUAUGUUACACAAGCUCCAUAUUAAAGCUCAACUCAAGCACCUUAGUUUCGUUUUAAAAUAGUGUCUUUACCCUUUCAGUAUUCUGUGGCUUCAAUUUCGUUCUGUUUGAUUUAUUUUUUUGAUAUAAAUUGACCGAUUCUUCAUUUUUCUUCUUUGGACUGGUAACUUGCUUCCCAUAGAACAGAAAUAUGAAUCCACGGAUCAAUUUGUUGUUAAUUUUUGGUGGUAAACUAUCCAAAUGCUUUAUUCAAUGGAGAUUAUCCAAGUGAUCUGUGCAUCUCUCUCAUUCAUCUCUAAAUACUCUAUCCUGUAAUUGAGCAUUUCAUUCUUCUAGUAGUGUGCAUAUAUUUUCUUGUGUGUAUGGGUAAAAAUCUUAUCUUCUUUCUUCGUUUCAUCUUAUGUGGCAGUGCUGUUCUUGGUGGUGGAGUAGAAGAUGAUAAAGUUUCCUUCUUAUCAAGAAACACAUCGGUUCUUAUAUAUGAAGAAAUAUUUAGAAUUCUGAUGACUUUCAUGCUGGAUUCUAGUUUCAUCUGGGUAAAGAAUAUAUGUUCUUUAUUAAGUAAGAGGGGAAAUUAUUCUUGCCGGGGAUUUGAAUCUUCUACUAAUGUGCUUGAGAUGGCUCAUUUUGCCCUGGAUAUUCUAAAUGGUAGUUUCUUUUGUCUGAAGACUAUGAAUGAUGAAACCGAGUUAGUUUCAGGUAUAUUAGCUGCAAUAUUUAUCAUUGACUGGGAAUUUAACGUGUUAAGUGUUACCAAGGAUGAGAACCAGAUGGGAGAAAUUGAGGCCAGAUUGACAUUCUGUCAGGCUAUCCAUAUUUUUCGUAGCAAGAUAUAUAAUCAGUUCUUUGAAAGUCUCAGCAUAAAUAAUCGAAACAGCCUGGGAACUGUUUUGGUUGAGUCAAUAAAAUGCAUUAUAUUUAUGGAAACUAAAUUAGAUUAUGAGAGAAUCAUAUCUUUAUGCUGCCAAUGGAUGGGUGACAUUUUUGAAUAUUUCUGUAAAGACCAAUUCGAGGAACAGCAGUUGUUGGAGCAAUUACUGACAAAGAAUGAUUGGUGGCCUUUGUGGAUCAUGCCAGAUAAUCGUUUAGGAUCCAGCUUCAAAGCUGAAAAUGGUCCUCUCUAUGUGAGUUUUACUAGUGUUAUUGUUAUUUUUUCUAGCAUUUUGUUUUGAUUUAUUUAUUUUUCGGGUGAGAAAGGGCUAAGAGACGUUUCUUAGCCUCUGUUUGUCUACCAUUAUUUCAAAGUUCUUUAUUUUUGAACUCAUUUUCAACCACACAUUUUCAUAAUAAAAUAUUUUACACGUAAACCCAAAAUUUCUUCUUAAUUUUGAACCACACAUUCUCCAAAAAUUCACUAUUCCAAAAAUUAUUUUCCUAUUUUAAUGGUAGACAAACAAAGGGCUUAAUUUGACUCCACUCAAUCAACACAUUGCAGUGGUCUUUUUUUGUCUGUCUGUACUUGCUUUGGCAAAUCCUUUAUAUGUUGCAGAACUUCUCUUUUCCUAUGUCAUUAUGUUUUCGAGCUUUAUUUUGGGAUAACUGAUUAUAUGCCAUCCUCAUCUAUGUCAAAAAAUGAAGCUUCCACUGAAAACUGAAAUCCUUGAGUCCUUGUGGGUGAUGUCUUGAGAUAUGCCCUUAAUUGGCUGACUGAUGAUCUGACACGAACAGUCUUGGGGCAUGAGAAUCACAUUCUUCUUUACCUUGAGUUCAUGCUGUGUACCCUAUCCGAUCUUUUAUUUAGCAACGUGAUCUCUCUUAAUCAAAUCAAAAUCAACCAUAAUAUUGCUGAUAUAUCUUAUUUAGCCCUUGUUUGAUCCCCAUUAUUUGGUAAAAAUACAUUUUUCAACAGUGUUUUGACAUCAUUUCCACCACACAUUUUCAAUAAAAUAAUAUUACAUACAAAUCUAAAACUUUUUUCUUAUUUUUUAACUACACAUUUCACAUCAAUUCACUAUUCAAAAAUUCAUUCUAUUCCCCAAAAUGGGGCUCAAACAAGGGCUUAGUAUAUUCACGGUGAAGUCUUCAACCAGAACUUGCUGUCUCAGUUUCUUCAUAACACAACUUCAAGUAAAUUAAGCACUCCCGAACAUGUAAUAAAGCUGUUUAUCGGUACUUGUAUAUAUUAUAUAACAUGGGUACAACUGACAGAAGCUAAGUUUUACCUAUACAAUUUAUUUGCAGGCAUCCAAAAACACCUUGUUUGUUGCUUUACUUGACAAACUAAUAUCCAGAAUUGGAUUUGCACGAGUUAUUGCUGCUGCUACCUCUCCAUCUUUAACUGGGGAGCCUAUUAGAGACCUACCAACAAAUAAUCUGUAUUCUUCUCGAGCCUGGCUUGCUGCUGAAAUUUUAUGUACAUGGAAAUGGCUUGGUGGUAGUGCUUUGCACUCUUUUCUGCCUUCUCUAAGUGAAUAUGUGAAGCAUUCUUGUGAAAACUGCCUUCUGGAUUCCAUCGUCAGCAUUCUGCUUGAUGGUGCUCUUGUCCAGGGAGCUGGUACUGGGUUAAGUCCCUUAUGGCCUGCUUCAUACGAUGAGGUACAGGGCAUUGAGGAACCCUUUUUGAGAGCUCUUGUAUCAUUAUUGUUGACUUUUUUUCAAGAUGAUAUAUGGGGGAAGGGCAAAGCUGUAUCGCUCUUUAAUGCACUUCUAGAUAAGCUCUACAUUGGUGAUACAACGAACUUGAAUUGCUUGAGGAUUCUUUCUUCUGUUAUGAGCAUACUUAUAAGACCCUUAAGCAUCAGAUUGGUAGACUCCAGUGUGAGUGACGAGUGUGAUUAUUACAGCCAAAGCAAAUUUCACGAAUCAGUAGUAGACUGGCUUGAGAGAACUGUAUCUUUCCCUCCAUUGAAUACAUGGCAAACUGGAGAAGGUAAAUGCAAGCUACAAUUAGUUUUCAUUCAUGUACUGGGCACUUAUAAUUAAAUUAUCCUCAUAAAUAUAUGAUUAUAUAGUAGUAGUCAUAAAGGGAAAUGAAUUGUAGUUUUCCACGGCUUUAUAUCUCGAAGCUAAGGCAUAUAUCUAUUUUUUGGGUAUCUAAUGGCAAAAAUCUCAUAAUGUGCCACCAUGGUGUUGAUGCAGUUCAUUCUUGUUAUCCGACAUUCUGGCUUUGCUAUAUUAACAAUUUGACUUUUUCUACCAGAUAUGGAGGAUUUCUUUCAGUUGGUUAUAUCUUGCUUCCCAAUUAAAGCAACAGAACAAUUGCAGGGGUUAAAACAAGAGAGAUAUAUCAGUCCUGUGGAGAAAGAACUUCUUUACAAGUUAUUUGAGAAGCAGAGACAGCAUGCUGGUGCAUCAGCUGUAGUAAACAAGCUGCCAUUGGUUCAGAGGUUGUUGUCACAGUUAGUGGUUGUUUCAGUUGCUUAUUGCUGGGAGGAAUUCAAUGAAGAUGAUUGGAAUUUUGUUCUAACUCGGUCAAGAUUUUGGAUUGAGUCAACUGUUGUUAUGAUCGAGGAAGUUGCUGAAAAUGUGAAUGAUGCUGUGUCAAACUGUUCUAGUUCCAAUGAUAUGACAGAUACUCUAAAGAAGCUCAAGAUUGCUGUUUCAACCAUAGACCCUUUUCCCAUAAAACUCGCAACAAAUGCACUUCUUGCCUUCUCUCUGUUUUGUGGCCUCAUGGGACUCCAAAAGAAAGAGUAUCCUGAAAAUUCAAACCCUUUGAGGAUUGAGAGGUGGGAGGUCAUCAAGGAUCGAAUUCUAGAAGGUAUUCUUCGUUUAUUUUUCAGUACUGGCGUUGCUGAGGCCAUUGCAAAUUCGUAUUGCCAAGAGGCUUCGUCUGUUGUUGCGUCAUCUCGCCUGGAUCAUCCUCACUUUUGGGAGUUAGUAGCUUCAAGAGCCAUCGAGUCUAGUUCACAUGCAAGAGACAAAGCUUUGAAAUCGAUAGAGAUUUGGGGUCUAAGUAAAGGGCCAAUAAGCUCUUUGUAUGCUUUACUCUUUUCUUGCAAACCACUUCCUCCUGUGCAGUUUGCGGCGUUUGUUAUUAUUUCAACCGAACCUGUGAUGCACUCAGCUUUUAAAUGUGAUGCUGCUAGUUUGGUGAAGGGUGAUACGUCUAACAACGAGGGUCCUCACAAUCCUGAUAUUUCUUCUGAAGGAAAUGUUCGUUUGAGGGAAGAAAUUUCUCACAUGCUUGAAAAGUUUCCAGAGGAGGUCUUUGAAAUGGAUUUAGUGGCAAAUGAGCGGGUAAGUAAUAUGUAACCGUGAGCAUUAACUUUCCGCCCUUUGCUCCUUUGUGAUGUCUUAAUGUUUUGGUUACUCUAGGAGUAGGUAACAUUGCAUAAGAGAGAUGUUGAUUGCUUAGUUAAAUUAUAUGUAACAUUACCUCAUAGGCUGUGUUGCCUCUGUUAAACUUACAGGUGAACAUAUUUCUUGCUUGGUCUUUGUUUCUGUCACAUCUAGGAUCCUUGCCAUCAACUUCGUCUGAAAGAGAAAGAAUGGUUCAAUAUGUGCAAGACUCUAUCAAUUCAGUAAUACUGGAUUGUCUUCUCCAACACAUUCAAUUGGAAUUGUACGUGGUGCCAGGCUCAAGAAGGAAAGAUGUAGAACUUCCAGCAACAGUAUCCGAAGCAGCCACAGCUGCAACACGUGCCAUCAGGGACAGAUCAGUAUUGUUUUGCAUAGAGUCACUUUGGCCUGUUGGAAUAGAGAAAAUGGCCUCACUUGCUGGUGGAAUAUUUGGUUUGAUGCUUCAUAUUCUUCCUGCCUAUGUUCGUGGAUGGUUUAGUGACAUACGAAAUCGUUCUACUUCAUCUUCUGUUGAAUCUUUCACGAAAGCAUGGUGUAGCCCAACACUUGUUACAAAUGAAUUAUCUCAGGUGUGUGUGACAUGAUUCCUGUUUGCUGUUGAUUACAGUUUAAUUCCAGUUGACUUGUUUUUUGACUCCGUAAAAAAAUCUGUAUGUCAUGGAAACAGCCUCUCUGCUUGCAAGGGUAAGCUUCAUGAAUAUAAUCCCCAUCAUCUCAUAGUGUCUUGAGCAUUCUGCAUUGGGUAUCCUCUCUCUAGAAAUAGCUAGAUUCCAAGCCUUCUAGAGAUAUUGUGAACCUUAAAUAUCAUGUAAGAUACGAGAUGUUUGUUUCAAUGCUUCAAUGUCCGUUAAGUUUAUAUUGCAAUAAGGAUACCUGAUGUGAUCACAGCAUAAAACUGAAGCUUAUUUUUCUCUAUGCAGAUCAAGAAAGCCAGUUUUGCUGAUGAAAAUUUUUCAAUUAGUGUGAGAAAAUCAGCUAAUGAGGUUGUGGCCACCUAUUCGAAGGAUGAAACGGGAAUAGAUCUAGUAAUUCGUCUUCCUCCAUCUUACCCUCUGAGACCUGUAGAUGUAGAUUGUACCAGGAGCCUUGGAAUUAGCGAGUUGAAGCAGAGAAAGUGGUUGAUGUCAAUGAAGUCGUUUGUUUGUAAUCAGGUAUAACCGACAAACUCUUGCUGCUCGGGUGCUACUUUAUGCACAGUGUUUGCCCACUGUAAGACUAAUGCAAUUCAAGAAUUUAUGAUCAAUUGGUUAUGUUUUACUCUUGUUGUAUGUGGGCAUCACAGAUCAACUUUGAUAUUUGUUGAUUUAUCUGGUUCUUGUCCUCCAUCCCUGAUUGAUCAUCUGAGAUUCCCAUUCCCCCACCCACCAUACGGUCUAUAUCAAAUUUUCUAUUGUACCCCUCAUUAAAUUAAAGUGAAUUGAGGUUUUACGACAUAGAUGUGAAGUCCAUAGACCCCCAUUAAGUGGGUUUGUUCUUGAAAAAUGAUAUAAAAUCUUUUUGAAGUAAACGAUGGUGUUGUAUUGUCGAACCACCAUAUAAUAGGGGGUUAAAAAGCCAAAAUAAGUGAUUUUCAGCCCUUAAAAAGAAAUAGAUUCUUGAUCUAAAGCUUAAGCUAUUAGAGAAGGCUAUUGUAUAUCAUUUAAAGUCUUUAACAUGUACCCUCAUGUAUGGUGGGCUCAUUUUUUCCGUCAAAGCUUGAAACAUGCACAAUUUCAAUAAAUGGGUGGUAGUCAGAAUUAAUUCAGGACCUUUGCAUGCCAUAGUAACGUAUAUGACUUCAAUUUUCAUCUUAAAAGGUCGACUUGGUUACGAGUAGUUUAAUCUCUUAUAUGUUUGGGUAGUGUUUCAUAUCUAAUCAAUGUGGGAUUUACACCUGACAUGCCAGCUCAAGAUAGUUGCUCAUUGGAUAACACCAAUCCUGGAAUCUGAUUGCUUGUUUGAGCUUUAAAGGGAUUGAAUUAUUUCUUUGAACUUUUUUUUUUUUUUUUUGUUCUAAUACCAUUUUGAACAACUUUAUCUAAAUGCUUAAUCUUUUUAGAGUGGACCACUUGUAUAUCAUUUAAAAAUAGUAUUCAAUUUGUAUUAAUCUGCGGGAAAAUUGCAAGUGCAAGAUCUUUUUGGUGGUGGAGUAUGUGUUGAACAUGUCUGAUUUCGUUUUUUUUAUUCACACCCAUGAAAAUUUUGAACUGACUGCAAACAUUGAUUAGUAAUGAACUUCAUGGUCCUCCAAUAUGCCAAGAAAUAUUCAGCAUUGUUUCCAUGUUUUUUACUUUGAACAUUUCUGUUUUGAAAUCUGGAGGUUGAUGAUGUGUGUGAAUGGUACAGAAUGGAGCCUUAGCUGAAGCAAUACGGAUAUGGAAGAGCAAUUUUGACAAGGAAUUUGAAGGUGUUGAAGAGUGCCCUAUCUGUUAUAGUGUCAUCCACACUGCCAACCAUAGCUUGCCUCGCCUUGCUUGCAAGACCUGCAAGCAUAAAUUCCAUUCUGCCUGCCUCUACAAGUGGUUUUCAACUUCUCACAAAUCAACCUGUCCCCUGUGCCAAUCUCCCUUUUGAUCCCAGAAAAUGAAGUCAUCACAUUUAUUCACUGCGCUGCAGUUUUUAAGUGUAAUCUCAGGUGCUUUAUAUUUAUUGACUGCGGACUCAAUUUGAAGAAUGCAAAGGGCACUAAUUUCAAGCAUCCAAACUUUAAAGUGCUUAAAACCGCAGCCCCNNNNNNNNNNNNNNNNCCCCCCCCCCCCAUCUCUCUCCCCAUCUCUGUGACCACGAGUUGCAUCAUACCAUCUGGGAUGACGUUCUUGAUUAAAAUUGCCUGAGCUUGCUUUGAGGAGACUUGUUGAGCUCUAGGAACUCCUGGAGUCCGUUUUGUGUGACAUGUUGAUAUGGUGAGUCUGCUCUUUUCAUUAUAUUGUGCUUGAGUUGUCCAAUUUAGACAUGUUUAGUUAGAAAAAAACAUCAAAUCCAAGAAAGACACAUUAAAAAUUUUCCUGUGAGAAUUUAUGCAUAUUUUGAUCUUAUUUUAUUGCUGUAUUUUUUUAAAAAGAAAUCACAUUAUUUUUUUCCUGUUUCUGUAUUCUUUCCCCAUUUGUAACUGUCAUUAUGGUGGUCAAUGUGUGUGGUGGACUCAAAAUGCACACAAAUUGGCAUCAACUCUGUUUUCACGAGAGACCACGUGCCAUUGUUCUAUUGAACUGGGGGUUUGGGAGUUGGGUGGCAUAGUUUGAUUGGGGAACAAGAUUCUUUCAAUCCUAUAUUCAAAGAUGAUUGCUUGCUUUGCAACCAGAGCUGGGAACAUUCAUUUGAGUGUAACUUCUGCUUGUGGAAUCUAUUGUUAAACAAGGGCAUUUUGUGAUUUGGCACUUGUGCUUGGGUCUUUAAAAUUGAGGGAGGACAUCUUCCACCAGUGCAUUCUCCUAAAUUCUGUGAAGCACUGCUAGGUCUUAGUAUUCACUCUUACAUCACUGAUCCAACAGCUGGACUUGGAUGUCAGAAGUGCAUGGGAACUGGGCCUUAGAAUACCCUAUAGGCUAAUGCCUCUUAUCCCCGGGGCCACAUAGGCGGAUGGACACGUCCCCCCCUGGAAAUCCCGGGCUAGCAAAACUCUACCCUAUAUAACAUGGGUCCAAUAGCUGCUAAAAUUGAUUUCGACAUUUGAUUAAAUGAAAAGAUAAAAGAGGAUUGACUAACUGUUGUUCUAUUGGAUGACGGUGGGAACUUGGAAAGUUAUUCCCCUGUUUUUUUCCCAUACCGUCUUUAUCCAUCCUCGUAUUUUUUUGUGUCGAAUUUUGUUUCUGGAACCCGGGCCACCGUGGGAGGAGUUUGGUUCUGCUGGUUUUGCAUUUGUAGUGGUAAUUCAAUGACUUGCGUACGAAUCAACCAAGUUUCUUGAUUAGGCAUGUGUACCACCACGGUUGGCAGUUUCUAGCUGUCCUUUUAUGUAACAUCCAAAUAACCAUAUAAAGUGAAAAUAAAUUGAUGAUGCCAUUUUAUGCAAUAGAAAUUCACCUUUUUGCAUGUUGUACAUAUUUUUUCUAUUAAUAAUAAAUUUGAUUUUCUUGUUCAUUGCAGACGUAGAUGUUAAGACUUGGGGAUUGCAUCUUAAAAUAUCAACUUUUUUAACAGUAGUCCAAGAUCUUAUAAGUUGAUCUAUAUUUUUAUCUUUAAUCGAUGUGAGAUUUUAUUCCUUAACAUAACCCCUCAAAAUGGUGACCAAUCUUGAAAUUCGUAUGCUCAUUUAUUGAGUUUUAAUCGGAUUGAAUCGUUUGUUGGAGUUUAAUGAGUUUUAAUACCAUAUAAAGAUCUGGGGUUCCAUCUUAAAAUGUCAACAUUGUUAAAGUAAUUGCCUAAGACCUUAUAACUUCAUCUAUGUUUCAUCUUUAAUCGAUGUGGGAGUUUAUCCCUUAACAAGAGAGAUUUUAAAUCCUUAUGAUUGUGGUGUUGAAAUGUAGGUCUUGUUCUUGGAAUUCAGGCCAGAGAUUUAUGCAUUGAUGGAUGUGGUGACAAGGAUACUUGUAUUCAUAGGUAACAAUUUCUCCCAUACGAAUAUCGCUUGCAUUUGGGAUCCUCCACUUAAGUCCCAGGAGUACAUGUGGGAACCAGAAGACAAUCAGAAGAUUCGACGAAGAUAUUAAGGAUGCUCCUCUCUGCCAAUAGUUUUAAAAUAUCUAACGUGAGAACACAAGAAUGCGUGUAUAAAUACAUCCAAUAUGCAUUCAGAAUUUUUAAGUGUAGGGGUAUUCUUUUUUUGUUUUUUUAUUGUUUUUGCAUGCAUGUAUUACAGGGAAAUUAGCCAGGUGAAUGUUAAUGAGUUUUGACAAGAUUUUGAUGAUUAUGUUGCUGCUCCCGAGGUUUCUUGUCACUGUUUUCUGGUUUUUCUUUAUGGGUAGUACUGUAGUAGCUUACAGUCAAAGGCACGUGAAAGAGGAGAAAAAGUUUUCUGCUUGUUUUGAAUUUCUUCUUAGAAUUGUUUUCUGCAUUUUAAGAUGAUGAAUGUCAAAAUUAGAGGUUCAAAAGUAGGUUAAAUCGUUGAUCAAAUUGCUUUUUGAAAUUUGGAAGAACCCAGAAUGGCCGAAUUUUUACAUCAUGCUAUUCACAUGGUAUGCAACAUUGUGAUCC
rnacentral:lncRNA from 1 species